UUUAACCCUUUCAUUACUUGAAUAAUUCUGUGGGCCUUCUGAGUUUAAUGGCCAUGUUUUUUUUCCAAUUUAUUUUCCUCCCUCAUGCUGUUUCCCCCAGUGCUGCCUAUUUUUUUUAAUAUCAUAUAUAUUUGAAUUGUUACAUAUGUAUAACCUCCAUUGAAUGCAAAGUUUUCAAUAUUAUCACUGUUAACACUUGACAUAAGUUUUCUUCUUUUCCUGGAAGAUUUGUCAUUUCUCUAGUUUAUACACAGUAUUUAUGUAUAUAAUGUUGUCACUUUCUUACAUUGUUUUGUUUUAAAUGUUGUAGGAUCUUUUUGAUUUAUCCAUUUUUAAUAAGGGGUAAAGCUGCAACUGGAAAACACACACACCACAGAAAUAAAACUGAAGGGUGUUGUUAGGAAUCUGUAAAGUAUAUUGACAGUGGUUUCAAUUGUUUAAAUGGAGACUUCUAAUCACUAGCUCCUGCCAAAUUAUGCAUUAGUAACUUCCUCCUCAGAGAAACCCCUAAAGUCUCCCAUUAGAUCUCAGUUUGAUUGAAGGCUGAUUUCUCUUUGAGACUGAAAUUCCAGAAUGUUUGUCUGCCAGUAGCUCAACCAGAGCCAGGGGGUAUAUGUGAGCAUUACAGCUGCCCAGGGCGGAAGCUGCUAAUGGAUUAGGCUGAAAGGCUGCAGGGAGGCCUUGGCCAUGGGCGGGUGCCCUUAAUGACUCCAUUUAGGACGCUGUUGCUUUGCUGCUAUUGUAGAGGUCCUUAGCAGAGGAGCACCUGCCAUAAACAAGCCUAUUUCAGCUUCUUACAGAAAACCUCUUUAGCCUGGAAUGGGACACUCUCUGCAGCUCAUCAAAACUGAAGAGGUUUGCAGAUUUGCUUCCUGAUGGCUUUGUUUGAUGUCCGUGCUGCUGAGAGAUUGACCAAGCACAGUCCUGAGAUUUAGGUUUUAGGUUCAUCACAGCACUUAGAGAGAAAGACAGAUGCACAGACUGUCAAGGUGAUGUCAGAGGACAUGACCCAAAGGAGAGAGAAAAGGUGGACCGAGGCCACUCGUAGGUGCUUGAGAGGAGCUGUGGAGCCUGUUGCCGGGUGGAGACAGUGGUUGGGUGGGACAUCACUGCCAGAAGGCAGAUUGGACAGAAACCUUCUGCUCUAAGUGUCUUUAUGGUGUAGUCAUUAUAUGUACCUGUGCUGCCCCUCAGUGAUUUCCUUAAAUGUUCGGAUGUAUCAUCCACCCAGCUUUGUGACUCCUGGAUACUUAAUGUGUUGUAAAGUGUUUUGCUAGGUGGCAUGUUCCAGUGUGAGGAAGCUUGCAAGACUGAGUUACAAAUUUCCAGGGUUCAUGCAUCCAAACUGCCCUGUCUUGUUGAGGCAGUUCCAUCACCAAUCCUGAAUGUUUGGGGUCAUUCCUAACAUCUCAGCCUCUUCAGGCUCUUUAUCUAGCAUUUUCCUGGUUCUGUACCUUUAUCCCAACUGGUAUUUCCUCUUUCUUGCUUUUGGAACUACCAACGGCCCCAAGGACAGCCUGAGGAUGUCAGUCCACUCUGAGGUCCUCUGCUGCUGCAGGGCCUCAGACAGACAACGUUGUUGGAUAGACCUGAAGCUUCUGAGACAUAGCAGCUCACAGAAAUCUUCUCUCGUUCCAUUUGAGGAUUUCAGUUCUGAAGUGAUCUAGCCAUGUUUGAUAAAGAUAUUUUUGUGGGAGUUCUCUCUCUCUCUCUUUUUUUUUUUUUUUAAGAAAGCAUUAUGCAAAAAGGGUAACUUUCAAGGGCAUUUUAAAUUUUUUAAAUAAAGCCAUUCUUUGGCGUUUUUGAA
ensembl:lncRNA